UUUGAGCAUUACUCAAUACAUGUUACAUAGUGCCUGACACCUGAUUAGCAAACUAUAAAUGCUUAGCCCUUGACUUAAAGAGAGCUGAGUUAUGCCUGGAUCUUCAAUGAAUACCCUUCCUAUCAGGAUAAUCGCCGCUUUGUUUCUCAAGAGACUGGGAAUCUGUAUAUUGCCAAAGUAGAAAAAUCAGAUGUUGGGAAUUAUACCUGUGUGGUUACCAAUACCGUGACAAACCACAAGGUCCUGGGGCCACCUACACCACUAAUAUUGAGAAAUGAUGGAGUGAUGGGUGAAUAUGAGCCCAAAAUAGAAGUGCAGUUCCCAGAAACAGUUCCGACUGCAAAAGGAGCAACGGUGAAGCUGGAAUGCUUUGCUUUAGGAAAUCCAGUACCAACUAUUAUCUGGCGAAGAGCUGAUGGAAAGCCAAUAGCAAGGAAAGCCAGAAGACACAAGUCAAAUGGAAUUCUUGAGAUCCCUAAUUUUCAGCAGGAGGAUGCUGGUUUAUAUGAAUGUGUAGCUGAAAAUUCCAGAGGGAAAAAUGUAGCAAGGGGACAGCUAACUUUCUAUG
rnacentral:sRNA from 1 species